rnacentral:lncRNA from 1 species
UCUACUUCACAGAUUUGUUAUUCUUUCAAGCGUGAUCUCACGCAAGAUGCCAUUUCCCUAGAUACCACUGCUACCAUUUCUAUGCUAGUUGUCUCACUUCUAUCGUUAUGUCUCAUUACCUGCCACUAAAUGUCAGCCUCUCAACAUUGCCAUGAAAAGCCUAUGACCGCUCCACAUCCUAGCAAACAUUUGAUUGACUAUGUUACUGCUUGCUCAGCCUUCUUAUAGCGUUGCUAGUUGCAGGUGCAAUUGCUUUCCAUGUGACACAUGGAUUUCUUGAUAUAUCACCACAUUAUUGCUAAUUAAUUUAAUGCACCUAUAUACGUGGUAAAAGGUGGAAGGCUUGGCCUUCUAGCUCGGUGUUUUGUUCCAUAUUUUCCGCCCUGGUUACUUGUGUACCAGUGUUAUGUUCCAUACUGAACGCUCCUAACAUGUUUGGGGUUGGUAUGGGGACCCCCCUUGAUUUUUGUUUUGAGAUAAAACUCUUUUAGCAAGGCCCAACAUUGGUCCUAUAUUUGCUCAACAUAAUAUUACUGAACACUAUUGGUAAAGCAUAGGGCGUCAUGAACCCGAGGAUUAAUUCAACAUAAUACAGGGGGCGAGUGUUCAUGGUCUUGGUCCCAAACAGAGCCACUUGCGGGACCACCCCGGGGCAACUCAGGGGAUUUCUAUCAGGCCACCAUACGUACUACUCAUCUAGCAUGUCGGGCAGUCUUGCUAGAUUUGUUUUACUCUUAUCGGACGUCUUAUGCACUGGGAUAUCGAGGAUACCUCGGGCUAUCUCGAGGUUGAGGUUUUCUUCCCAGGGCAGCUUGUGAUAGUUUGUGAUGGAUUAGUUGGAGCACCCCCCACAGGGUUAAAUCUUUCGGAAAGUCGUGCCCACGGUUAUGUGGCAACUUGAAAACUUUGUUUAACACCCGAUCAUAGCAAACUUGAAGUAAACUCAAUUAAAAUAUGUAAACUGUGUGCGUAACCAUGACUGUCUCUCCUCAUGAGUUCUUAUCCGAGAGAGGACACGGUGGGGUUAUGUUUGACAUAAGUAGGUGUUCAAGAUCAUUUCUUGAUCAUUACUAGCUCAUGUUUGUUUAUGCGUAGACCCCCCACCUCUUGUUCUUGUACUCGUAAGUUAGUCACUCAAAUAAAUGCUUAGUUGCUUGAUCCAGCUUUACCACUUAACCAUACCUCACCCAUUAAGCUUUCUAGUCUUGGUACCUUUGUAAAUGAUAUUGCUAGUCCUUGUGGCUCACAGAUUACUUUGACGUGAGCACGAUGAUUGUUCUAUUUGGAGUUUCUUAUUCUUCUUUAAUUUAGGAUGGGUUCUAGGCCGGCAGGCUAGGAUAGCAAGGAUUGACGUCGAUUUUUUUGGGGAACGUCGCAUGAGAAACAAAAAAUUUCCUACGCGCACACAAGAUCUAUCCAUGAUGAUGAACAUCUACAAGAGGAGAGAGUGCAUCUACAUACCCUUGUAGAUUGAUAAGCGGAAGUGUAUAUAAUGCGGUUGAUGUAGUUGUACGUCUUCGCGAUCCAAUCAUGAUCCGUCCCGCGAUCCCAUCAUGAUCCGUCCCGCGAUCUCAUCAUGAUCUAUCCCGCAAUCUCAUUGUUG